CCUACGGGAGCAGCAGUGAGGAAUAUUGGACAAUGGGCGCAAGCCUGAUCCAGCCAUGCCGCGUGCAGGAAGAAGCAUCUAUGGUGUGUAAACUGCUUUUGUACGGGAAGAAACACUGCUACGUGUAGCAGCUUGACGGUACCGUAAGAAUAAGGAUCGGCUAACUCCGUGCCAGCAGCCGCGGUAAUACGGAGGAUCCAAGCGUUAUCCGGAAUCAUUGGGUUUAAAGGGUCCGUAGGCGGUUUGGUAAGUCAGUGGUGAAAGCCCAUCGCUUAACGAUGGAACGGCCAUUGAUACCGCCAGACUUGAAUUACUAGGAAGUAACUAGAAUAUGUAGUGUAGCGGUGAAAUGCUUAGAUAUUACAUGGAAUACCAAUUGCGAAGGCAGGUUACUACUAGUUUAUUGACGCUGAUGGACGAAAGCGUGGGGAGCGAACAGGAUUAGAUACCCUGGUAGUCCACGCCGUAAACCGAUGGAUACUAGCUGUUCGGGGUAACCUGAGUGGCUAAGCGAAAGUGAUAAGUAUCCCACCUGGGGAGUACGGUUCGCAAGAAUGAAACUCAAAGGAAUUGACGG
rnacentral:rRNA from 1 species